GCACCCUUAGCUCAAUUGGAUAGAGCAUCUGACUACGGAUCAGAAGGUUGUAGGUUCGAGUCCUACAGGGUGCG
rnacentral:tRNA from 1 species